CAGGGCGGGAACGGGCUGCGGGA
rnacentral:miRNA from 1 species